GACGAACGCUGGCGGCGUGCUUAACACAUGCAAGUCGAACGGAAAGGCCCUUCGGGGUACUCGAGUGGCGAACGGGUGAGUAACACGUGGGUGAUCUGCCCUGCACUUUGGGAUAAGCCUGGGAAACUGGGUCUAAUACCGAAUAGGACCACGCGCUUCAUGGUGUGUGGUGGAAAGCUUUUGCGGUGUGGGAUGGGCCCGCGGCCUAUCAGCUUGUUGGUGGGGUAAUGGCCUACCAAGGCGACGACGGGUAGCCGGCCUGAGAGGGUGACCGGCCACACUGGGACUGAGAUACGGCCCAGACUCCUACGGGAGGCAGCAGUGGGGAAUAUUGCACAAUGGGCGCAAGCCUGAUGCAGCGACGCCGCGUGAGGGAUGACGGCCUUCGGGUUGUAAACCUCUUUCAAUAGGGACGAAGCGCAAGUGACGGUACCUAUAGAAGAAGCACCAGCCAACUACGUG
rnacentral:rRNA from 1 species